GUGAAUCAUCGAAUCUUUGAACGCACAUUGCGCCCUUUGGUAUUCCUUAGGGCAUGCCUGUUCGAGCGUCAUUUAGCACAUUCAAGCUCAGCUUGGUGAUGGGUGUCUGUCCCGCCUCUCGCGUGUGGACUCGCCUCAAAAACAGUUGGCAGCUUUAUCUUUCGGUCCCAAACGCAGCAGACUUGCGCUGGAACCCGCGGAGAAAGGCUCCCCAAUAAGCAAAAUGAUACGCUGGACCUCGGAUCAGGUAGGGAUACCCGCUGAACUUAAGCAUAUCAAUAAGCGGAGGA
rnacentral:misc_RNA from 1 species